GACGAACGCUGGCGGCGUGCUUAACACAUGCAAGUCGAACGGAAAGGCCCUGCUUUUGUGGGGUGCUCGAGUGGCGAACGGGUGAGUAACACGUGAGUAACCUGCCCUUGACUUUGGGAUAACUUCAGGAAACUGGGGCUAAUACCGGAUAGGAGCUCCUGCUGCAUGGUGGGGGUUGGAAAUUUUCGGCGGUUGGGGAUGGACUGGCGGCUUAUCAGCUUGUUGGUGGGGUAGUGGCUUACCAAGGGUUUGACGGGUAGCCGGCCUGAGAGGGUGAACGGCCACAUUGGGACUGAGAGACGGCCCAGACUGCUACGGGAGGCAGCAGUGGGGAAUAUUGCACAAUGGGCGGAAGCCUGAUGAAGCAACGCCGCGUGCGGGAUGACGGCCUUCGGGUUGUAAACCGCUUUCGGCUGUGACGAAGCGUGAGUGACGGUAAUGGGUAAAGAAGCACCGGCUAACUACGUG
rnacentral:rRNA from 1 species